rnacentral:rRNA from 1 species
GAUGAACGCUGGCGGCGUGCUUAACACAUGCAAGUCGAACGAUGAAGCCCAGCUUGCUGGGUGGCUUAGUGGCGAACGGGUGAGUAACACGUGAGUAACCUGCCCUUAACUCUGGGAUAAGCCUGGGAAACUGGGUCUAUUACCGGAUAGGAGCGUCCACCGCAUGGUGGGUGUUGGAAUGAUUUAUCGGUUUUGGAUGGAAUCGCGGCCUAUCAGCUUGUUGGUGAGGUAUGGGCUCACCAAGGCGAGGACGGGUAGCCGGCCUGGGAGGGUGACCGGCCACACUGGGACUGAGACGCGGCACAGACUCCAACGGGAGGCAGCAGUGGGGAAGAGUGCACAAGGGGCGCAAGCCUGAUGCAGCGACGCCGCGUGGGGGAUGACGGCCUUCGGGUUGUAAACCUCUGUCAGUAGGGAAGAAGCGAAAGUGACGGUACCUGCAGAAGAAGCACCGGCUAACUACGUG